UACGUAGGGCGCAAGCGUUGUCCGGAAUUAUUGGGCGUAAAGAGCUCGUAGGCGGCUUGUCACGUCGGUUGUGAAAGCCCGGGGCUUAACCCCGGGUCUGCAGUCGAUACGGGCAGGCUAGAGUUCGGUAGGGGAGAUCGGAAUUCCUGGUGUAGCGGUGAAAUGCGCAGAUAUCAGGAGGAACACCGGUGGCGAAGGCGGCAUCCUGGACCGGCAUUGACGCUGAGGAGCGAAAGCCAGGGGAGCAAACGGG
rnacentral:rRNA from 1 species